CCUUGAGUUAAUUUUUGUAUAUGUUGUAAGGAAGGGGACAAGUUUCAGUCUUCUGCAUAUGGCUAGCCAGUUAUCCUGGCACCAUUUAUUGAUUAGGGAGUCCUUUUCCCAUUGCUUGUUUUGUCAGCUUUGUCAAAGAUCAUAUCGUUGUAGGUGAGUGGUCUUAUUUCUGGGCUCUCUAUUCUGUUUCAUUGGUCUAUGUGUCUGUUUUUA
rnacentral:lncRNA from 10 species